rnacentral:rRNA from 1 species
AGCAGCCAUCCUUUAAAGAAAGCGUAACAGCUCACUGGUCAAGCGCUCCUGCGCGGAAAAUGUAACGGGGCUUAAGUGAUACACCGAAGCUGCGGGCUCGAAAGAGCGGUAGCGGAGCGUUCUGUAAGCCGUUGAAGGGAGACCCGCGAGGGCUCCUGGAGGUAUCAGAAGUGAGAAUGCUGACAUGAGUAGCGAUAAAGAGUGUGAGAGACACUCUCGCCGAAAGUCCAAGGGUUCCUGCGCAAUGCUAAUCAGCGCAGGGUUAGUCGGCCCCUAAGGCGAGGCAGAAAUGCGUAGUCGAUGGGAAGCAGGUUAAUAUUCCUGCACCAGUGGGUAGUGACGGAUCUCGUGUGUCGUCAGUCCUUAUCGGAUUGAACUGGCGGCGAAGAGGUCCCUGGAAAUAGCUCCCACAUUAGACCGUACCCCAAACCGACACAGGU